GGGACACCUUGGNNAACCAGGGCUAAUACCGCAUNAUCUCUACGGAGUAAAGCGGGGGAUCUUCGGACCUCGCGCCAUUGGAGCGGCCCGUGUCCGAUUAGUUUGACGGCGGGGUAACAGCCCACCGUGGCUACAAUCGGUAGCUGGUCUGAGAGGAUGAUCAGCCACACCGGGACUGAGACACGGCCCGGACUCCUACGGGAGGCAGCAGUGGGGAAUAUUGGACAAUGGGGGCAACCCUGAUCCAGCGAUGCCGCGUGUGUGAAGAAGGCCUUCGGGUUGUAAAGCACUUUCGCGGGGGAAGAAACUUCGCGCUCUAACAUAGCGCGGCACUGACGGUACCACGAGAAGAAGCGCCGGCUAACUCCGUGCCAGCAGCCGCGGUAAUACGGAGGGCGCAAGCGUUAAUCGGAAUGACUGGGCGUAAAGCGUGCGCAGGCGGCCGCGGAAGUCGGAUGUGAAAGCCCCGGGCUCAACCCGGGAACUGCGUUCGAAACUCCGCGGCUCGAGUCCGGCAGAGGAAGGUGGAAUUCCGCGUGUAGCGGUGAAAUGCGUAGAGAUGCGGAAGAACACUAAUGGCGAAGGCAUCCUUCUGGGCCGGCACUGACGCUGAGGCACGAAAGCGUGGGUAGCAAACAGGAUUAGAUACCCUGGUA
rnacentral:rRNA from 1 species